CUGAAACGCGCGGGAGAGUUCUUUUCCGAUUCGGUAUCGGGAAAGGCGCCGAAGGAGCAACCGCCCCGGAAUCUCUCAGGCAAAAGGACCGCGCAGGGUCG
rnacentral:ncRNA from 2 species